GUUCCAACGGUGAAGCGAGGACGGAGAACGAACGAAACAUUACUGGCGCAGCCGACAGGAUCGGCAAGCCCCACAACGAGCAACGAGCAGCGAGCCAGGCGCAAGAAAUCAGAGGGCCACCAGCGAAUUCCGCAAGGGUUGCAAUUCAUCUGGACAAGGACGUCAGGCGGCGCCCCCAGCAGCAACGGCUUCAAGUUCCAACGGUGAAGCGAGGACGGAGAACGAACGAAACAUUACUGGCGCAGCCGACAGGAUCGGCAAGCCCCACAACGAGCAACGAGCAGCGAGCCAGGCGCAAGAAAUCAGAGGGCCACCAGCGAAUUCCGCAAGGGUUGCAAUUCAUCUGGACAAGGACGUCAGGCGGCGCCCCCAGCAGCAACGGGACAGACCUUCCCAUACAGAUCGGGCAUGGAUUCCAAGUCGGCGCGCCGUAGCACGCAAGCGUACUACGAACAGCGAUCGGGACUCCUCCUCCGAUGCUCUUACCACCCUUGCUGUCACGGUAGCUGCUGUAGGCGUUAUAGUUAGGGAGAAAAUAAUCCGAUGAGGAUAUAUCGGAAGAAAUACACGUCUCUGUCAAAACUAAUAUAGAAGCUGAUGAAAAUAAAUUGCAACGAAAUUCAUUAGCUUUUG